GAGCUCGCAGUACAGGGGCGUCACCUUCUACAGGAGGACCGGCCGCUGGGAGUCGCACAUCUGGGAGUAGGGACUGCGGGAAGCAGGUCUACCUGGGUGGAUUCGACACCGCGCACGCCGCAGCUAGGUUUGAACUGAACACUGGUGCAUUCAAAUUGAUGACACCUCCCACAAUGCAUCAUAUAUUUGUCUACUAUUUUCCUCCCAUGUUUAUAUGAUCGUCCUCACUGGUUUAUGAUCACAUUCCAUUUUUGGUACUCCAUUGGAGCAUCCAUUCCUAUCAGAUGCAUGCUUCUAUGCUUGGCCUUACAGGUUUCUAUGCCCCUAUAGAAAACUUUUCUACACUGAGUUUGUACCCUACUUGUAUGAGGGAAGUGUAUAAUUUUUGCCACCAUAUGAAUGUAACUUCGUAGAUGCCUGUGUUUUUUAGCAUAAAAGUAUCCAUUUUCAUCUUUAUCCUUGUUGCUGUUUAUUUAGUUUUGCAUAUGACAAUUGUCGAGCAUCUUCUAUUUUUUCUUUAUUUUUAUGCAUUUUCCAUGCACCAUAGGAGCAUCAUGUCUGAUCAGAUGCAUGUUUAUAUGCCUGACCUUACAGGUUUAUAUGCCAUCGUACAAAGCUCUCUACACUAGUAUAUAAUUCUCCACAUACAUUCAAAUGUUGGGAUGGUGGUGUGUUAUAUAUUGACGAGGAUCUGCCGCAUGACGACUUCCACAACUUCAUGCUAGCAUCAUAGUCCUCACCAGCUGCAAGCUAGCAUCAUAGUCCUCACCAGCUGCAAGCUUGCAUCAUAGUUCUCACCAGCGGAGUGCAAACAUUAUUGAUUUUGUAUUCAUAGUUUGUACAUCUCUUUUAGGAAAUUUAUGGUUCACACAACUGUACAUCUCUAUUUGAUUCAAAUUCUAGAUGGAUUUUGGUUUCUAUGCUUCUAGGCCAGGUUUAUAUGUUUGCAUUUAUAGAUUUCUAUGUCCCGGAUGAUAGGUUUCUAUGCUCGUUCUUUGUAUGUUUC